UUCCAGACUCCUACGGGAGGCAGCAGUGGGGGAUAUUGCACAAUGGGGGGAACCCUGAUGCAGCGACGCCGCGUGGGUGAAGGUUUUCGGAUCGUAAACCUCUGUCAGGAGGGAAGAAAGCGCAUGGCGCCAAUCAGCCAUGCGUUGACGGUACCUCCAAAGGAAGCGCCGGCUAACUCCGUGCCAGCAGCCGCGGUAAUACGGAGGGCGCGAGCGUUAAUCGGAAUUACUGGGCGUAAAGCGCGCGUAGGCUGGUGUGUAAGUUGGGGGUGAAAUCCCACGGCUCAACCGUGGAACAGCCCUUGAUACUGCGCGACUUGAAUCCGGGAGAGGGUGGCGGAAUUCCAGGUGUAGGAGUGAAAUCCGUAGGUAUCUGGAGGAACAUCAGUGGCGAAGGCGGCCACCUGGACCGGUAUUGACGCUGAGGCGCGAAAGCGUGGGGAGCAAACAGGAUUAGAUACCCGAGUAAA
rnacentral:rRNA from 1 species